CAGAGCCCAGUGCAGUUCACCAAGCAGCAGGGAGAUGUGCUGCCAGCACUGCUGAUGCAGGAACCUGGUGCCUCUGCAACAGCAGCCUUGCAGUUGGGUCUUAAUGUAACAGCUGACCUCUUCCACGACAAAGCCAUGUGCAAAGCACUGCAGGCUUGCUGGAUGUUACCUCGCAUCUGAGAGGCUGUGGGGAAGAGGAAUACCUCCAAACCUUGCUGUUAUUGUGUGUGCAUACGAAGAAAAAUCACUAGAAAUAAGGCCAUUAUUCGAAAAGGUGGAAAUCCAGAGAAAACUCCUCACCAGCUUAAAACCAUCCGGGGCAAAAACUAAAGGACAGCGUUCUUCUCCCUUCUUUCUACUUCAGGGAAACAACCAAACCUUCCCAUCAAAAGCUUCAUUUGGUUUAAAGGUUUAUCUUCAAUAUGUAUGUAAAGAGAGACUGCCUGGCUCGUAACAGCUUGGCACGACUCAGCCUGACUUACCCUGUGAAAGCAUUUGGUGCCUUUAUGCCAUAAUAAGAUGCAGCGAAAGUCUCCCUCGUGGCUACGUAUGAGGAAGUAUAAUCUAGGGUCUAAAUGCCACAAAGCAUCCAUAUUUAUCUUUAAUGGCUAUAUAAAUUCAGCAGAUGAGAAGGAAAACAUUAAUUAGACAGACCCUGCCUUUGGCAGUGAG
ensembl:lncRNA